AAGACCUUGCACUUUUGGAGCGGCCGAUGUCUGAUUAGCUAGUUGGUGGGAUAAUGGCCUACCAAAGCUUCGAUCAGUAGCUGGUCUGAGAGGACGGCCAGCCACACUGGGACUGAGACACGGCCCAGACUCCUACGGGAGGCAGCAGUGGGGAAUUUUGGACAAUGGGCGCAAGCCUGAUCCAGCCAUGCCGCGUGAGUGAAGAAGGCCUUCGGGUUGUAAAGCUCUUUCAGCCGGGAAGAAAAGGUUGCGACUAAUAAUCGCAAUUCAUGACGGUACCGAAAGAAGAAGCACCGGCUAACUACGUGCCAGCAGCCGCGGUAAUACGUAGGGUGCGAGCGUUAAUCGGAAUUACUGGGCGUAAAGGGUGCGCAGGCGGUUUUGUAAGUCAGAUGUGAAAUCCCCGGGCUUAACCUGGGAACU
rnacentral:rRNA from 1 species